rnacentral:misc_RNA from 1 species
AAGCCGAAGACCCACAAAAUCAUUUCGAAAUUAUUUUGGGUUUCUUGUUAGCUGAACACCCAACCUAUCCAGUAAAGCUGCAGCAGUGGCACUAUCUUCCUUAGCAAAUUGUGGGUUUUCUUUCCUUGUUUAAUCUUUAGUAUCAAUACAGUUUAUGUAUAGUGGUUUUGCAGUUCACAUAAUUGUUGAUGGUGAUUUGUGUCCAAGAUUAAUGUUGACUGAACUGAAACAUAGAGUUCAUCUUCACAAUAACUCCGCUUGGAUUGGAUAUGGUGGUUCUACAAGUCAAAAUCUUUCUUUUGGACGCAAAUGACAAUGUUAAGCUAAUUGCUUAUGCGAGAAUUGCUGUCCAUAAAUGCAAGUUAUGUAUAUUCAUUUAGGAGCAGAAUCUGUUUGAUAAAAUUUCUCUUCAAAAAAUUAGAGGAUGAGCGAAGGAAAAGUGGUGUGCUUAACAGGAGGAUCAGGUUACAUAG